GAUGAACGCUAGCGAUAGGCUUAACACAUGCAAGUCGAGGGGCAGCACAAGGUAGCUUGCUAUCUGGGUGGCGACCGGCGCACGGGUGCGUAACGCGUAUGCAACUUGCCCUAUACAGGAGGAUAACCCGUCGAAAGACGGACUAAUACUGCGUAUGCUCACAACUUGGCAUCAAGUGGUGAGGAAAGAAAUUCGGUAUAGGAUAGGCAUGCGUCCCAUUAGCUUGUCGGUGAGGUAACGGCUCACCAAGGCAACGAUGGGUAGGGGAACUGAGAGGUUUAUCCCCCACACUGGUACUGAGACACGGACCAGACUCCUACGGGAGGCAGCAGUGAGGAAUAUUGGUCAAUGGGCGCGAGCCUGAACCAGCCAAGUCGCGUGAAGGAGGACUGUCUUAUGGAUUGUAAACUUCUUUUAUACGGGAAUAACAAGAGUCACGUGUGACUCCCUGCAUGUACCGUAUGAAUAAGCAUCGGCUAACUCCGUG
rnacentral:rRNA from 1 species